GACGAACGCUGGCAGCGUGCUUAACACAUGCAAGUCGAACGGAAAGGCCCUGCUUUUGUGGGGUGCUCGAGUGGCGAACGGGUGAGUAACACGUGAGUAACCUGCCCUUGACUUUGGGAUAACUUCAGGAAACUGGGGCUAAUACCGGAUAGGAGCUCCUGCUGCAUGGUGGGGGUUGGAAAGUUUCGGCGGUUGGGGAUGGACUCGCGGCUUAUCAGCUUGUUGGUGGGGUAGUGGCUUACCAAGGCUUUGACGGGUAGCCGGCCUGAGAGGGUGACCGGCCACAUUGGGACUGAGAUACGGCCCAGACUCCUACGGGAGGCAGCAGUGGGGAAUAUGGCACAAUGGGCGGAAGCCUGAUGCAGCAACGCCGCGUGCGGGAUGACGGCCUUCGGGUUGUAAACCGCUUUCGCCUGUGACGAAGCGUGAGUGACGGGAAUGGGUAAAGAAGCACCGGCUAACUACGUG
rnacentral:rRNA from 1 species